UAGGUCCCAAGGGUAUGGCUGUUCGCCAUUUAAAGUGGUACGCGAGCUGGGUUUAGAACGUCGUGAGACAGUUCGGUCCCUAUCUGCCGUGGGCGCUGGAGAACUGAGGGGGGCUGCUCCUAGUACGAGAGGACCGGAGUGGACGCAUCACUGGUGUUCGGGUUGUCAUGCCAAUGGCACUGCCCGGUAGCUAAAUGCGGAAGAGAUAAGUGCUGAAAGCAUCUAAGCACGAAACUUGCCCCGAGAUGAGUUCUCCCUGACCCUUUAAGGGUCCUGAAGGAACGUUGAAGACGACGACGUUGAUAGGCCGGGUGUGUAAGCGCAGCGAUGCGUUGAGCUAACCGGUACUAAUGAACCGUGAGGCUUAACCUUACAACGCCGAAGCUGUU
rnacentral:rRNA from 1 species